rnacentral:lncRNA from 1 species
AGAAUCAGAGGUUCCUGCAACUUUUCUUUUAUUCUUUGCCCCUUGGCAAUCAUUAUUUCACCUGACCGUUUGAUCUCUUUUUCUUGAAUGGGUUCCCACAUGGCUGUUAUAUGAGAUGUGAACCAUGACAGUAGUUCAAUCUUUCUAUGAAACCACGAAACUCUCUUUUUAUCCUCGGUUCAGACUUCUUUUUUUUUAUUUUUUUAUUUUUUUUUUUGGCAGGAUGAACCUCGAUUCCUCCCUUACAAUGAACCCCAACAUCUUAC